rnacentral:rRNA from 1 species
GAUGAACGCUAGCUACAGGCUUAACACAUGCAAGUCGAGGGGAAACGACAUCGAAAGCUUGCUUUUGAUGGGCGUCGACCGGCGCACGGGUGAGUAACGCGUAUCCAACCUGCCCAUCACUUGGGGAUAACCUUGCGAAAGUAAGACUAAUACCCGAUGAUAUCCCUAGAAGACAUCUGAAAGGGAUUAAAGAUUUAUCGGUGAUGGAUGGGGAUGCGUCUGAUUAGCUUGUUGGCGGGGUAACGGCCCACCAAGGCAACGAUCAGUAGGGGUUCUGAGAGGAAGGUCCCCCANAUUGGAACUGAGACACGGUCCAAACUCCUACGGGAGGCAGCAGUGAGGAAUAUUGGUCAAUGGGCGAGAGCCUGAACCAGCCAAGUAGCGUGCAGGAUGACGGCCCUAUGGGUUGUAAACUUCUUUUAUAGGGGAAUAAAAUGCACCACGCGCUGGUGUUUUGUAUGUACCUACGAAUAAGGAUCGGCU